rnacentral:rRNA from 1 species
CUGCUGCCUCCCGUAGGAGUUUGGGCCGUGUCUCAGUCCCAAUGUGGCCGCCCACCCUCUCAGGCCGGCUACUGAUCGUCGCCUUGGUGGGCCUUUAUCCCGCCAACUAGCUAAUCAGACGCGGGCCCAUCCUGCACCACCGUAGUUUUCCACGCUGCACCAUGCAGUGCCGUGUGCCUAUGCGGUAUUAGCACCUAUUUCUAAGUGUUGUCCCCCAGUGCAGGGCAGGUUGCCCACGCGUUACU